UACAGAGGGUGCAAGCGUUGUUCGGAAUUAUUGGGCGUAAAGGGCGCGUAGGCGGUGCAGUAAGUCUUUUGUGAAAUCUCCGGGCUCAACUCGGAGUCUGCAAGAGAAACUGCCGUGCUGGAGUAUGGGAGAGGUGAGUGGAAUUCCCGGUGUAGCGGUGAAAUGCGUAGAUAUCGGGAGGAGCACCUGUGGCGAAAGCGGCUCACUGGACCAUUACUGACGCUGAGGCGCGAAAGCUAGAGGAGCAAACAGG
rnacentral:rRNA from 1 species